UACGAAGGGGGCUAGCGUUGCUCGGAAUUACUGGGCGUAAAGGGCGCGUAGGCGGUCUUGUCAGUCCCUUGUGAAAUCCCCCGGCUCAACUGGGGAACUGCACGGGAAACAGCAGGGCUUGAGUUCGGAGAGGGAAGCGGAAGUUCCGGGUGUAGCGGUGAAAUGCGUAGAUAUCCGGAGGAACACCGGUGGCGAAGGCGGCUUGCUGGGCCUUACCUGACGCUGAGGAGCGAAAGCGUGGGGAGCGAACAGG
rnacentral:rRNA from 1 species